rnacentral:rRNA from 1 species
UCCUACGGGUGGCAGCAGUGGGGAAUAUUGGGCAAUGGGCGAAAGCCUGACCCAGCGACGCCGCGUGGGUGAUGAAGGCCUUCGGGUUGUAAAGCCCUUUCGUGCGGAAAGAACUGUCCCAUUGUUAAUACCAAUGGGAUUUGACGGUACCGCAGGAAGAAGCACCGGCUAACUCCGUGCCAGCAGCCGCGGUAAUACGGAGGGUGCAAGCGUUGUUCGGAAUUAUUGGGCGUAAAGGGCGCGUAGGUGGUUAUGUAAGUCAGAUGUGAAAUACUUCGGCUCAACUGAAGAACUGCAUCUGAAACUGCAUAGCUAGAGUACAGGAGAGGGAAACGGAAUUCCCGGUGUAGAGGUGAAAUUCGUAGAUAUCGGGAGGAACACCUGUGGCGAAGGCGGUUUCCUGGCCUGAUACUGACACUGAGGCGCGAAAGCGUGGGGAGCAAACAGGAUUAGAUACCCCGGUAGUCCC